rnacentral:rRNA from 1 species
UACGUAGGGGGCAAGCGUUGUCCGGAUUUACUGGGCGUAAAGAGCGCGUAGGCGGAACGUUAAGUCCGAUCUGAAAGCCCCCGGCUCAACCGGGGAGGGUGGUUGGAAACUGGCGUUCUUGAGGGCGAUAGAGGAAGGUGGAAUUCCUGGUGUAGCGGUGAAAUGCGUAGAGAUCAGGAGGAACACCAGUGGCGAAGGCGGCCUUCUGGGUCGACCCUGACGCUGAGGCGCGAAAGCGUGGGGAGCGAACGGG